UCCUUUGAGACCCGACUUAACAAUGUUUUGAGAUCAGUCAGCUACUCGGAACCAGAGGAAUGCUGAUGGGCACAUAAUUAAAUGAUAGUUUACUAAUGACUCAUGUUUUCUGUUAACAGGGUUAUUGUGGUCUGAGAAAAUAGAGAACAUGUACCCAGAGUACAUUAUCUGUUCAAGACUGGGCUUCUUCAGUGGGAGACCAAGCUGCUUGAAGAUUGCUGAGGAAGUGUUCGGAAACGCAGAGCUGUGGAAGGCCAUGAGUGGAUAUAUAUCAUGCCUGGUAAGAAAAGUCCUUCCUGCCAUCAGAGACUGCUGAACCAGACCAGAAUUCCCUGUCUUUUAACACGAAUUUGAAUUUGGACUGAAGACAGUGACGUUUUUGAUAUUUCUUUAUA